rnacentral:lncRNA from 1 species
CAGCCUCCAGUAACUCUGGAACACAGACGUGACUGUUGACACCUGAUUUCCUUUUGGCAAGUGACCAGAUAGAAUCAGCAUUAACGUGCAGAAAAUGCCAAACGCAGAGGAAAUGACAAAUGUGCCAGUGGUGCGUGUCACCUUCCUGCAAGGCAACCCGUUUGCAGCUCUAGCCAGAGGGAAAAUUACUGGACAACAAAAUGAAAAGGAGGCAUAAGUCAGCCCAGAUCUCUGAACCCUAGGAA